UAGGGAAUAUUGGUAAUGUGCGAAAGCGCGAACCAGCAACGCCGCGUGCACGAUGAAGGCCUUCGGGUUGUAAAGUGCUUUUAGAGAGGAUGAGGAAGGACAGUACUUUCUGAAUAAGCCUCGGCUAACUACGUGCCAGCAGCCGCGGUAAAACGUAGGAGGCUAGCGUUAUCCGGAUUUACUGGGCGUAAAGCGCGUGCAGGUGGUUUCGUAAGUUGGAUGUGAAAGCUCCUGGCUUAACUGGGAGAGGUCGUUCAAAACUGCGAGGCUUGAGAGUGGUAGAGGGAGGUGGAAUUCCGGGUGUAGUGGUGAAAUGCGUAGAUAUCCGGAGGAACACCAGUGGCGAAGGCGACCUUCUGGGAUGUUCCUGACGCUCAGACGCGAAGGCUAGGGUAGCAAACG
rnacentral:rRNA from 1 species